rnacentral:rRNA from 1 species
GAUGAACGCUGGCGGCGUGCCUAAUACAUGCAAGUCGAGCGAACGGACGAGAAGCUUGCUUCUCUGAUGUUAGCGGCGGACGGGUGAGUAACACGUGGAUAACCUACCUAUAAGACUGGGAUAACUUCGGGAAACCGGAGCUAAUACCGGAUAAUAUUUUGAACCGCAUGGUUCAAAAGUGAAAGACGGUCUUGCUGUCACUUAUAGAUGGAUCCGCGCUGCAUUAGCUAGUUGGUAAGGUAACGGCUUACCAAGGCAACGAUGCAUAGCCGACCUGAGAGGGUGAUCGGCCACACUGGAACUGAGACACGGUCCAGACUCCUACGGGGGGCAGCAGUAGGGAAUCGUCCGCAAUGGGCGAAAGCCUGACGGAGCCACGCCGCGUGAGUGAUGAAGGUCUUCGGAUCGUAAAACUCUGUUAUUAGGGAAGAACAUAUGUGUAAGUAACUGUGCACAUCUUGACGGUACCUAAUCAGAAAGCCACGGCUAACUACGUG